UUGUCAGUGUCUGUAAUAGUAGUUAGCUAAAGUUAGCUAGCUAGCUACCUUAGCUAGCUUAGUCUAACACUUCUUCUGGACUGUCUCAGACACUAUUUCACUUGUUAGCUACAUUAGCUAGCUAUGUUACCAUAGCUAGAGUUCACUUAUUCUCCAUCUGGGUUAAUUUAACCAAGCUAUUUGGCAGGAUUAUAUCAUGAUUGCAUGGUGAUUGAUUGAGUUAGCUAGAGUCACUGUACUGGUUUUCAAUGGUUUCUGACAGUGGCAGCUUUAGUCGGACUUGUGAAGUUGAGGAGGAUGGAUGCAAAUUCUGUUAGCUAGCUAACGUUAGAGUUUACCUUAAUUUUGAUGUAGCCAAGUUAGUUUAGCUAGCUAGCUAUGUUUCUAACAUUUAUUUAUUUCUGUACUUAAAUGCAGAGGUCAAGGCCAAUGAAUGGACAGCUUUGUAAAGAUACACUGAAUGAGUGGAACCUGGCCUCUGAUUCCAAAGUUUGAGGCAGAAGAGAUGAACCAGAAAACGCUCUUGCUUUUGGACGAUUCGACUACAGCCUGAAGUUAAAGAACAACAUAAAAGCCUUACACGCAUCGAAUGUGAGAGACGGCAGCCCAGAUGACCAAGUGGCUGAACAACAUCUGGCCGGCAAACCAGGUUGCGGAGUACAUGAAGGAGACCACGAUCCAGAGGGCUCAGUGGACCAGACAGAAUGGGGCCAAGACAGUCGAGAUAGUCCGAGAGUAUCCAUGAGACUCCAGGCAUGAUUGCUCUGGACUUCUCCAUUUAAAACCCGGACUACACGGGGAAACUCACUGGAAACUCACUGGAUCGCAGUCUUCAAGGACAAAAAGCCUUCGCUUCGCCAGCCCAGAGAGAAGCAGGCCCCCAAUUUGAAAUGACCCUGCUGGUGGUGCCUCGGAUGCAUUUAUUUUUAGCCUGAAACAAUCACGUUUUUCACUAAACAUUAUUUUCUGCAAUAUUUACCUGGAGCUAACCCUGCAGAUAGCAUUACUGGGUGAUCUGAAAAGUCAUA